UGGUUCUGGCAUCGAUGAAGAACGCAGCGAAAUGCGAUAAGUAAUGUGAAUUGCAGAAUUCAGUGAAUCAUCGAAUCUUUGAACGCACAUUGCGCCCUCUGGUAUUCCGGGGGGCAUGCCUGUUCGAGCGUCAUUACAACCCUCAAGCCUUGCUUGGUAUUGGGUGACACGUCUCUGGUGCACCUUAAAAUUAGUGGCGGUGCCAUUCGGCUUCAAGCGUAGUAAUCUUCUCGCUGUGGAGUUCCGAAUUUGUUCCUGCCAAAACCCCCAUUUAUUUAAAAGGUUGACCUCGGAUCAGGUAGGGAUACCCGCUGA
rnacentral:misc_RNA from 1 species